CCAAGGCUGAGGGUCCAUUGCAGAAGAAGUGGCAGAAAGAAUCUCUGUGGAACAGAAUUUUGAACAGGCUCAAUUAGGGUCCCUGCUCCCAGUAUCACAAGACUGGAAUCACCAUCCAGCCUUUUCCCCAAAGGCUCUGGGAAAGAAUCCACCUCUGAGCUCAUCCAGUUGUUGGCAGAAUUCAGUUAUUUGUGGAUGUGGAACUGUGGUCUCUGUGCUUGUGCUGGCUGGCCAGUGGAGCCAUUCUCAGCUCCUUGAAGACUUUCUCCAUUCCUGGCAUAUGGACCUCUCCAUCUUCAAAAGAACCUUCUCUUUUCAGAUGGCAGUGACCUUGGGAUGACUCAGAAGGCACCAUGGUGCUGAGAAGAAAUGACAGAGGAGUGCUCAGCACUGACAUAUCUCAAUCACACUCUUCCAUUGCAGAAGCGGUGGCAGAAAGAAUAGCUGCUUGCUGCCUUCCAGCGUGGACUGAAGACCAGCAUAGGCUGAAGAGCAGCGUCAACUGAAGAUCCGUGUGGACUGAAACCCAGCAGCUCCUCAGGAAACCUCCAGGCCUUCAGUGCCAGAUUGGGACUGCUGCAGCAUCCGGCCAAGUGGACUGAGCAGCCACCGGGUUCCUUGAUUCUUGGGCCU